UACGUAGGGUGCGAGCGUUAAUCGGAAUUACUGGGCGUAAAGUGUGCGCAGGCGGCCGCGCAAGUCGAGUGUGAAAGCCCCGGGCUUAACUUGGGAAUUGCGCUCGAAACUACGUGGCUGGAGUGUGGCAGAGGAAGGUGGAAUUCCACGUGUAGCGGUGAAAUGCGUAGAGAUGUGGAGGAACACCAAUGGCGAAGGCAGCCCCCUGGGCUAGCACUGACGCUCAGGCACGAAAGCGUGGGGAGCAAACAGG
rnacentral:rRNA from 1 species